CUGGCUUCUUGGCCUUUUGGCUAAGAUCAAGUGUAGUAUCUGUUCUUAUCAGUUUAAUAUCUGAUACAUCUUGUAUCCAGGGACAAUAUAGUAAGUGGGUUUUUUAGAUAUACUAAUUGGUUUCAUUUAUACUAUUGAUGUAUCUUAGUUCAUUGAAA
rnacentral:snRNA from 1 species